rnacentral:misc_RNA from 1 species
AAGUCGUAACAAGGUAACCGUAGGUGAACCUGCGGUUGGAUCAUUAACAAAGAUCUACUUGGAGUAGUAUUCCAUUUGGAAUCUACUCAACACCUCUGUGCACUUUAAUGUUUUUUUAGGGAUUGAAUAUGACAAUUGAAAAAUUGUUAUGUUUCACCCUUUAUUAUAAACUUUUUAUUUAUUUUAAUUAUUUUAAAAAGACCAAAAUCCAAAAACAACUUUUGACAAUGGAUCUCUUGGCUCUC